GAAUAGUCCCUAAAUUUCAAAAUCUUCUACAAAUUAGCCGGAUUGACUUGAAGUGAAGUGGGUAGAUCGGAUCAACACAACAAAGCACACUAUCCAGAUCAAUUCCGGUAGCUUUUGUUUUAUGUUUGAAGAUUUAUAUGGCAUGUAUAGAGUUUAAAUGAAAUGAAGUAAAGAUGUUAUAAACUAGUUAACAACAUUUUGUACUAAAAUAGUUUUUGGUUAGUAGCAGUAGUCUGAGUUUGAAAA